AGAGUUUGAUCAUGGCUCAGAUUGAACGCUGGCGGCAGGCCUAACACAUGCAAGUCGAACGGUAACAGGAAGAAGCUUGCUUCUUUGCUGACGAGUGGCGGACGGGUGAGUAAUGUCUGGGAAACUGCCUGAUGGAGGGGGAUAACUACUGGAAACGGUAGCUAAUACCGCAUAACGUCGCAAGACCAAAGAGGGGGACCUUCGGGCCUCUUGCCAUCGGAUGUGCCCAGAUGGGAUUAGCUAGUAGGUGGGGUAACGGCUCACCUAGGCGACGAUCCCUAGCUGGUCUGAGAGGAUGACCAGCCACACUGGAACUGAGACACGGUCCAGACUCCUACGGGAGGCAGCAGUGGGGAAUAUUGCACAAUGGGCGCAAGCCUGAUGCAGCCAUGCCGCGUGUAUGAAGAAGGCCUUCGGGUUGUAAAGUACUUUCAGCGGGGAGGAAGGGAGUAAAGUUAAUACCUUUGCUCAUUGACGUUACCCGCAGAAGAAGCACCGGCUAACUCCGUGCCAGCAGCCGCGGUAAUACGGAGGGUGCAAGCGUUAAUCGGAAUUACUGGGCGUAAAGCGCACGCAGGCGGUUUGUUAAGUCAGAUGUGAAAUCCCCGGGCUCAACCUGGGAACUGCAUCUGAUACUGGCAAGCUUGAGUCUCGUAGAGGGGGGUAGAAUUCCAGGUGUAGCGGUGAAAUGCGUAGAGAUCUGGAGGAAUACCGGUGGCGAAGGCGGCCCCCUGGACGAAGACUGACGCUCAGGUGCGAAAGCGUGGGGAGCAAACAGGAUUAGAUACCCUGGUAGUCCACGCCGUAAACGAUGUCGACUUGGAGGUUGUGCCCUUGAGGCGUGGCUUCCGGAGCUAACGCGUUAAGUCGACCGCCUGGGGAGUACGGCCGCAAGGUUAAAACUCAAAUGAAUUGACGGGGGCCCGCACAAGCGGUGGAGCAUGUGGUUUAAUUCGAUGCAACGCGAAGAACCUUACCUGGUCUUGACAUCCACAGAACUUUCCAGAGAUGGAUUGGUGCCUUCGGGAACUGUGAGACAGGUGCUGCAUGGCUGUCGUCAGCUCGUGUUGUGAAAUGUUGGGUUAAGUCCCGCAACGAGCGCAACCCUUAUCCUUUGUUGCCAGCGGUCCGGCCGGGAACUCAAAGGAGACUGCCAGUGAUAAACUGGAGGAAGGUGGGGAUGACGUCAAGUC
rnacentral:rRNA from 1 species